rnacentral:rRNA from 1 species
CAGUCGCCGCGGUAAUACGGAGGGUGCAAGCGUUAAUCGGAAUUACUGGGCGUAAAGCGUGCGUAGGCGGUUCGUUAAGUCUGUUGUGAAAGCCCCGGGCUCAACCUGGGAAUGGCAAUGGAUACUGGCGAGCUAGAGUGUGUCAGAGGAUGGUGGAAUUCCCGGUGUAGCGGUGAAAUGCGUAGAGAUCGGGGGGAACAUCAGUGGCGAAGGCGGCCAUCUGGGACAACACUGACGCUGAAGCACGAAAGCGUGGGGAGCAAACAGGAUUAGAUACCCCAGUAGUCCCUGUCUCUUAUAC